CAGCCGUAAACUAUGCUCGCUAGGUGUCAGGCAUGGCGCGACCGUGUCUGGUGCCGCAGGGAAGCCGUGAAGCGAGCCACCUGGGAAGUACGGCCGCAAGGCUGAAACUUAAGGGAAUUGGCGGGGGAGCACAACAACGGGUGGAGCCUGCGGUUUAAUUGGACUCAACGCCGGACAACUCACCGGGGACGACAGCAAUAUGUAGGCCAGGCUGAAGACCUUGCCUGAAUCGCUGAGAGGAGGUGCAUGGCGUGUGACUGU
rnacentral:rRNA from 1 species